AGAAAGUAUCACCAUGGUUAUUAACUGCUAGUCUGGGGCCAAGGAGAUGGCUCAGGGGGGUCAAGUGUCUGCUGUGCAAGCAGGAGACCUGCAUACCCACAUAAAAGCUGGGCGUGGGUGGCAGCAUGCAUCUAUAACCCCAGCAAUGAGGGCUGGGAGGCAGAGAGAGGUGAAUCCCUGGGAAUUCCUGGCCACUAGUCCAGCUGAAACAGACUUUGUCUCACAAACUAAGGUGGCAAGCUCUGGACCCACAGCUUGCUUACCAGCUUUGCAUGGCUCUAAGGACCAAGAGAAACUUACAGUAAAACCCCACAUGCCUUAUCCCUCCUGUCCAUACUGUACCUGGCCAAGAGAAGUGACCAAAGAGUGGACUGUGUCACUCAAUUCAAUGUCCCCAUAUUGGGGUCCUGGUUGAAGUUAUCUCUCAGCCAACACCUGACCCCACAAACCGGACUCACAAGCAAUGCUGCCCUCCAGAGACAUUUGAACUUCAAAUAACCGUAGUCACAACUAGUAUUCACUGGUUCCCAGUAAAAUCACAAGAAAUUACUCAU